UACGUAGGGGGGCAAGCGUUGUCCGGAAUCAUUGGGCGUAAAGAGCGUGUAGGCGGCCCGAUAAGUCCGCCGUGAAAGUCCAGGGCUCAACCCUGGAAUGCCGGUGGAAACUGUCGGGCUGGAGUCCGGAAGAGGCGAGUGGAAUUCCUGGUGUAGCGGUGGAAUGCGCAGAUAUCAGGCAGGAACACCGAUGGCGAAGGCAGCUCGCUGGGACGGUACUGACGCUGAGGCGCGAAAGC
rnacentral:rRNA from 1 species